GAUAAAAGCAUACACAUUGAAACUACUAAAAUAAAUAACCUUCAGAAUUAUUAAAUAAAACAAAGAACUACAGCAACAUAAAAAUGAAGAACAAAGGCUAUGCGAUUGAAAACAUUGAAUAAAACAUGGGUAAUGGGGCAUUUGAGUAAAUUUAAAGUUUUAGUAUGUGAUUAUUAAUUUCUUAACUUCGAAUAUAUUCCAACAAUGACUUUAAAAAUAAAUCUAAUACAUAUUUUGUCAUUUAUUUAUGAAAGUCAUUCCUUGCUAUUCUGUUAAUACUGCAUUUAGCCAUUAAUAGUGUUAAUGCAUUGCAUAUUUAUUUCUUGUUUUUUAAUGUUAAUUUAUUUCGUUUUAUGUACUUCAAAAAAAUAUUCAAGAUAACAUGAUCCUAUAUGAUUUGUUAUUAUAAACACUGCUAUUACAAUUGAUAUUGUUAUUUAAAACCCUAAUCAUACCAUAACGCCCUUACAUAGGCACCAAGACACAACAAAUUAGGGGGAAAAAAAUAUAUCCUACCAAAAUCUUGAUGAACACUAAAUAUUCAUUUAAAAAAAAAUGCAAGUAUAUAAAUAAUCCCAAGUAGUCAAAUUGUAUAUGCUGGAUUGGAUUUUCAUUUUCCUUCAUUGGUCUUACCUUAUAGUUGUUAGGUCUGCCCCUAUCGAGGCCAUAGGGGGUGCACCUAAGUCAGCCUAAGGCAAGACACUAUCCCACAGGCACACACUCUCUUGGGUGAAGCACCUAUGUAGCACGGACAUGGAAACACAGAAACGGACACGGGGAAAUGACAUUUUCAAAAAUAUAGGAAACAAAAACGUGGGGGAAACCCGUAAAUAUAAAAAAU
rnacentral:misc_RNA from 1 species